CACACUUACACUGCUACCUGGAAACGUCUGACUGGAAUCAUUUUCUGGAUCAUGCUUAUGUCCUGCUGUUCACGCCAAGCCGGUCUUGCCAGUCCGUUUAUUGUUUUGGUUCCUGCCUCCUACAAGAAGAAGAUGGAUGGAGACAUAAACAUUUCUAUCAUCUCAGUGUGCUUUAAGAGGGGGGCAAGGAUCACCCUCCUCUGCAACUCCUUGUGCUACCAGAGGGGGCAGACUACGACUCACCUCUGCAUUUACCUGUUCUCCCAGAGAGGACCCUGCCACCUUUAGGUCCUCACACAUAAAAAUGAAUUAGUGAUGGCCUGAAUAAACUGAAAUUAAUGAAAGUAAAAAA